rnacentral:rRNA from 1 species
GAUGAACGCUGGCGGCGUGCCUAAUACAUGCAAGUCGAGCGAACGGACGAGAAGCUUGCUUCUCUGAUGUUAGCGGCGGACGGGUGAGUAACACGUGGAUAACCUACCUAUAAGACUGGGAUAACUUCGGGAAACCGGAGCUAAUACCGGAUAAUAUUUUGAACCGCAUGGUUCAAAAGUGAAAGACGGUCUUGCUGUCACUUAUAGAUGGAUCCGCGCUGCAUUAGCUAGUUGGUAAGGUAACGGCUUACCAAGGCAACGAUGCAUAGCCGACCUGAGAGGGUGAUCGGCCACACUGGAACUGAGACACGGUCCAGACUCCUACGGGAGGCAGCAGUAGGGAAUCUUCCGCAAUGGGCGAAAGCCUGACGGAGCAACGCCGCGUGAGUGAUGAAGGUCUUCGGAUCGUAAAACUCUGUUAUUAGGGAAGAACAUAUGUGUAAGUAACUGUGCACAUCUUGACGGUACCUAAUCAGAAAGCCACGGCUAACUACGUGCCAGCAGCCGCGGUAAUACGUAGGUGGCAAGCGUUAUCCGGAAUUAUUGGGCGUAAAGCGCGCGUAGCGGUUUUUUAAGUCUGAUGUGAAAGCCCACGGCUCACCCGUGGAGGGUCAUUGGAAACUGGAAAACUUGAGUGCAGAAGAGGAAAGUGGAAUUCCAUGUGUAGCGGUGAAAUGCGCAGAGAUAUGGAGGAACACCAGUGGCGAAGGCGACUUUCUGGUCUGUAACUGACGCUGAUGUGCGAAAGCGUGGGGAUCAAACAGGAUUAGAUACCCUGGUAGUCCACGCCGUAAACGAUGAGUGCUAAGUGUUAGGGGGUUUCCGCCCCUUAGUGCUGCAGCUAACGCAUUAAGCACUCCGCCUGGGGAGUACGACCGCAAGGUUGAAACUCAAAGGAAUUGACGGGGACCCGCACAAGCGGUGGAGCAUGUGGUUUAAUUCGGAGCAACGCGAAGAACCUUACCAAAUCUUGACAUCCUUUGACAACUCUAGAGAUAGAGCUUUCCCCUUCGGGGGACAAAGUGACAGGUGGUGCAUGGUUGUCGUCAGCUCGUGUCGUGAGGUGUUGGGUUAAGUCCCGCAACGAGCGCAACCCUUAAGCUUAGUUGCCAUCAUUAAGUUGGGCACUCUAAGUUGACUGCCGGUGACAAACCGGAGGAAGGUGGGGAUGACGUCAAAUCAUCAUGCCCCUUAUGAUUUGGGCUACACACGUGCUACAAUGGACAAUACAAAGGGCAGCGAAACCGCGAGGUCAAGCAAAUCCCAUAAAGUUGUUCUCAGUUCGGAUUGUAGUCUGCAACUCGACUACAUGAAGCUGGAAUCGCUAGUAAUCGUAGAUCAGCAUGCUACGGUGAAUACGUUCCCGGGUCU